AGCCCUAGGAGAUCUGGCUGCAGCAGGCCAACGCCCAGCUGGAGUCAACAGCCUUGGAUCUCAUACUGCAAAAACAUUAAGAACUAGUCAUCUCUAUUUAAAAUGUGCUUUGGUCACCUUCCUGAGGACCAUGUGUCCUGGGCACUUCCUCCAGGAAAGUCCUAUGACAUCAUCAGGAAAGUCCUAUGACAUCAUCAGGAAAGUCCUAUGACAUCAUCAGGAAAGGAAAGCACAGAACUUCCUGAUCAAUGUGGUUAAAGCCCAAGAGCUCACUGCAUCAAAAUGAACUGGACCCAUUCAA